GUUUAAAAUGUAUCGGUCUGUUUUGAUUUGGGAAGUGGCGGGUUUUCUACCUUUUCACGCUGUGAUUUUAGUCUUCGAAAAUUAGGACUGGUUACAUGCAAGCGCUGAUGUUGAGGCAGCAGAGCCUAAGAGGAGAUCUGAGAGAUUGGUAAAUAAACCUGCAAUUGCAAAGGCAGAGCCCAAGCCAAAGAAGGAGAAGGCAGCACCUAAACCCAAGAAGGCUAAAGAGGUGAAAAAGACCGAGCCUGAGAAGGAGGUGCCCGCAGAGAAUGGAGAAGCCAAAGCUGAGGAAGAGGCACCAGAAGAACCUGAACAGAAAGAGGAAGAAGAGGCGGCCGAAUAACAUCUCUCAAACCACAUCUUUUAUCAGUGCUCCCUGUACCUCUUUUUCUUGUACAAUUCAGGGGUAUAUUUUUAUCGACUAUUUUCUAAAUGCAGGUUUUUUAGUAGUUUGAUUGUAGAAACACAUUUUUUUAUGAAAUAAAAAAUACAAUUUGAGAUGGGGAUUUCAUUGCAUCCCAUGUUUUUACAUCUCUGGAACAAUUACGGUCAUUGUAAAUGUCAACGGUUUUUAUUUUCGAUAUGGGGGAGGGGUGGGAAUGAGACAGGUUACUACACCAAGAACAUGCAAGCACGUCGUUUACAGGAUCUGGUCAAAACAACAGAGAGCUUGUCUGAGAGACUAACAUUCCAUAGGCUAUAUGAGGGAAGGUAUACGUAACCUGCAUUGUGUGGUGGGGAUGAAUUAACUCAAGGGGGAACACAUUGUUUUAUUGUUUAUAAUGAGGAAAACAUUUUAAGGUGUUUAAACUGUGUUCCAUAUGUUAACUCUUGUACUCAUUAUGUUUUUCUUUACCAUUCUGCUCAAUAAACCUAUUCCCUAGUACUGGAGUUCCUCCCUAUCAGGCCUGUGCAUUGGGUGUAAUUGGUUGGCUCUGUUCUGUGAUAGCAUUGCAAUAAAUUUGUAUAGCUGCUAUUAAAAGGGGUUUUCGACUUUCUAUAUGCAGUGUGUAAUGGUACAUUGUGAGUAUGGUAAAAAUGGAAUUGUGUUCUUAGCCAAGCUAAAGAAGUACAUAAGUUAAAUAUACUGACGAUUAUGGUUCCUUGGAUGCUGAGAAACUGUACAUCCAUUUGAGCUGUCAAAUACACAAACCAGCAGUAGCAAUAUUCAUGUGGGGUUUAGGUAUCAAGUACAAGUGUACAGUUCUUUUAUCCUUUGUUUAUAGAUGUAUCUGUGUAAUGAUUGGUAUAAACAAACCAAUAAAAAUUUGGUUGUA
ensembl:lncRNA